GUGGGGAAUUUUGGACAAUGGGCGAAAGCCUGAUCCAGCCAUGCCGCGUGCAGGAUGAAGGCCUUCGGGUUGUAAACUGCUUUUGUACGGAACGAAAAGACUCUGGUUAAUACCUGGGGUCCAUGACGGUACCGUAAGAAUAAGCACCGGCUAACUACGUGCCAGCAGCCGCGGUACUACGUAGGGUGCAAGCGUUAAUCGGAAUUACUGGGCGUAAAGCGUGCGCAGGCGGUUAUAUAAGACAGAUGUGAAACUCCCGGGCUCAACCUGGGAACUGCAUUUGUGACUGUAUAGCUAGAGUACGGCAGAGGGGGAUGGAAUUCCGCGUGUAGCAGUGAAAUGCGUAGAUAUGCGGAGGAACACCGAUGGCGAAGGCAAUCCCCUGGGCCUGUACUGACGCUCAUGCACGAAAGCGUGGGGAGCAAACAGGAUUAGAUACCCGAGUAGUCC
rnacentral:rRNA from 1 species